AGCUCAUCAUUGUGUCUGACAGGAAGGACUGCACAUCAGUCUGCUGCAUCACCAGUUCUCCUUUAGAUCCUCCGCUGAUCACAGCAAGAAAAUGCCUGAAGCCGAUGUCGUUUACUCUGAUGUCAGGUUCACAGCAUUGGAGGGAAACAGAGAUGAAACCACCUGCUCUGAAGUGAAGCUCUCAGGAGCUGAGGCGGUGGAGCUGGCAGUUUACCACCCACAGGCGUCAGGUUGGAGGUCAAAGGUCACAGAGAGACGGCGGCUGCUGCUGCUCUGUGUUCUCCUGGCGGCUGUGUGCUAGUGUUUAACUGUUACAGUAGUGGAGGCUGAUUGAAAAACUAGGAAGGAGAAAACUUUCGGGUUUCCAAAAUAAAUACUAACAAUUA